rnacentral:rRNA from 1 species
GCUGCAGAAGAAGCACCGGCUAACUCCGUGCCAGCAGCCGCGGUAAUACGGAGGGUGCGAGCGUUAAUCGGAAUUACUGGGCGUAAAGCGCAUGCAGGUGGUUUGUUAAGUCAGAUGUGAAAGCCCGGGGCUCAACCUCGGAAUUGCAUUUUGAAAACUGGCAAACUAGAGUACUGUAGAGGGGGGUAGAAUUUCAGGUGUAGCGGUGAAAAUGCGUAGAGAUCUGAAGGAAUACCGGUGGCGAAGGCGGCCCCCCUGGACAGAUACUGACACUCAGAUGCGAAAGCGUGGGGAGCAAACAGGAUUAGAUACCCCUGGUAG